rnacentral:lncRNA from 1 species
AAUCAAUCAUGGGCCGUGUGUGUUUGCAAAAGGACGUGUGUGGCAGUGACAGCAGCGGGAGCCCCGGGGGAGGCCCCCCGGGGACACGUGUCCACCACCUGGGCUCCCGUGCCCGCUGAGCUCUGGGAGGCAGUGGCUGCUAAAAUACAGAUUCCUAGGCCCCAGACCAUCAUCCUGAAGCCAAAUUGCCAGAGUCAGGCCCAGGACUCUAGAGUUUCUUUGAGGGUCUCCCAGACACUUCUGGUGAGCAGCCAGGCUUGGAAACUCCUGUGCAGCCCACCCAGCCCCAGUGCCUCUGGAUUCAUCUGCAGUGGCUGGAACCCCGUUCUCCAGUUGUUCACCCCAGCAUUCUGAGGCCAGGACUGGGCUGCUUUACAUUUCAGAAAGGCAUGUUGGGGCUGGGAGAAAGCAGACUUGCCAUCUGGAAAAGCUGUCCCAGGCCUGUGCUUUCGGGACCUGAAGCCACAGCGCACUGCGUGCACCUUAGCCUUGCAUCGUGCAGCGUGGCUGCGAUCUUCAUUCCCAGCAACCCUCCUUCCUGGGCCUGGUGAUCACCGUCCUCUUCUGUAGCACCAGGGACCUUAGCAGAGCCCCUGUGUCCCGCGUCUGUCCAGUGCCUGCAAAAAGAGAACCAUGGGACAAAACCCCCAUUGCACAGAUGGGGAGGGCAGCCAGAGAAGGGACCAUUGACCUGGGUCACCCCGAGAGUUGAUGGCAGCCCUUACCACCUGCAUCGUGUGGUGUUUUGAUCUCCCGGAGGGCAGCUUACAAUCCCAGACUCUCCAAGUGACAGAGAGGGCCCAUUCUGUCCAAGUCCACAUGCCCCCCAAUUUACAGAUGAGGACCCUGAGGUCUGGAAAGAUGAGGUGACUUUUUGGAUGGCUCAAAGAGGAGCAAUGGAGUGACUGGGGAAGAACAAUUGGUUAAUCAAGAGGAGAAAAAGGAGAGAGAUUUGGAUACAGUGACACAGACUCUCAAGGAGAAGGCCCUAUGACCACAGAGACAGAGACUGGAGUGACGCAUCUAGAAGCCAAGGACCACCAAGGAUCGCAGAAACCAUGAGAAGCUGAAAUAGACAGGCAAGGAUUCUCCCCUAGAAACUUCAGAGAGAGCAUAGCCCUGUGGACAUCUUGAUUUUGGACUUCGAGCCUCCAGAACCAUGAGCGAAUAAAUUUCUGUUGUCUUACACCCUUCCAUGUGUGGUAUUUUAUUAUAGCAACCCUAAGAAACCAAUACACCCUCCUACCAUCCUGUUGUUCUAUCCUCUGGUCCAGAGCAGGAGCAAAGGGCAAGUUUCCCUGUGCCCCUUGUAAUUGACCUUUUCAUGCCGUUUCGUCCCCAGGGUCACACGCAUAAGCACGUUACUGAGAAGAUUUAUCCCAAAGCACGUACGGGGCUCC